GCCCCAGUGGCCUAAUGUCUAGGGCACUGUCUUCUGAAGUCAGAGGUUGUUGGUUUGAAUCCCACCUGGGGUG
rnacentral:tRNA from 2 species